AUCGCGUUUGAUUGGAGAACUGGUGUUAUCAACUUCACAUCGCUUCCUAAACAGACAUGGGAUGGUUUAAAUGUGUUGUAAAUUUUGCUGUGGUAUAUACCUACGUUGUUCGUGUAGACUCCCUAAAUUGUAUUGCUUGCCAAAAUAUUGAUGAUCCUCUCGCUUGCAACAACACGAUUACUUGUUCCGGAACACAGGUAUGCUACCUAACUUUGCAAGACGGAAUCUAUAACAUUGGAUGUAUAGACGAUCUG